CUUCAGUGUAAGUGGCCUCCCAGAGACAUCUUUGACUUUUUAAAAAAUCUAGUUGUUGGGUCCUGGGAGGGACCUUCCUGUUUGGGGGUAAUGUGGCCCCAAGAAAGAUCUCUGGGCUCACCUGGGUUAUUUAGGUGGUCCGUGCGUCCCACCUACUGGAGCCCUCGACCUGGGAGGAGAGUCUCACCUGUGCCACCUCUGGUCUGCAGCAGGGGCAGGACAUGGGUGACAGUGGCCUGGAGGGCGACGCAGAGGGAGGAUUCUAGGACAGGUGGCAGGUGGGGGGAGAGCGUGGCAGGUUCCCAUAAACAUCCACUGAGGUCGUGGGCACUUGCAGGCUGUGCUUCCCCAGAGUGGGGUCCAGCAGCAAACCCAGGGUCCCCGCGGAACCCGGAAGCAUCGUCCUCUGCAGAUUCCAAAGGCCUUUUCUCCAGGCCGAGGCUGCAGGGCUGCUGUCUGCCUCUUUACCUGGCUUCUAGGCCGCCAGGAAGCUGGCUGGGGCCACCGGCCGGCGCUGCCUCCCUCUCUCUAUGGACGUCCGAGCGCCCCCAGCUGUCAUGGCCGCCGUGGACCAGGCUCUGAAGGAGUUUGGCAGAAUCGACAUUCUCAUUAACUGCUCCAGCAGCUCCUGCGGUCUCCCAUUCUGCAGGUGCGGCCGGGAACUUCCUGUGCCCCGCUGGCGCCUUGUCCUUCAACGCCUUC
rnacentral:sRNA from 1 species